rnacentral:rRNA from 1 species
UACGGGGGGAGCAAGCGUUGUUCGGAUUUACUGGGCGUAAAGGGCGCGUAGGCGGCACUGCAAGUCAGUUGUGAAAUCUCCGGGCUUAACCCGGAAAGGUCAACUGAUACUGCAGGGCUAGAGUGCAGAAGGGGCAACUGGAAUUCUCGGUGUUGCGGUGAAAUGCGUAGAUAUCGAGAGGAACACCUGCGGCGAAGGCGGGUUGCUGGGCUGACACUGACGCUGAGGCGCGAAAGCCAGGGGAGCGAACGGG